AGCGAACGCUGGCGGCGUGCUUAACACAUGCAAGUCGAGUGCGCGGUUGUAGCAAUACAACUGGCGCACGGCGCACGGGUGAGUAACACGUGGGCAACCUGCCCUCCAAUGGGGGAUACCCCCGCGAAAGCGGGACUAAUACCGCAUGACAUUCCGAGAACUUAGGUUUUCGGACUCAAAGGCCGUAAGGUCGUUGGAGGAGGGGCCCGCGCCCGAUUAGCUAGUUGGUGAGGUAACGGCUCACCAAGGCUAUGAUCGGUAGCCGGUCUGAGAGGAUGGCCGGCCACACUGGAACUGAGACACGGUCCAGACUCCUACGGGAGGCAGCAGUGGGGAAUAUUGCGUAAUGGGCGAAAGCCUGACGCAGCGACGCCGCGUGGGGGAUGAAGCUUCUCGGAGUGUAAACCCCUUUCGACCCGGACGAAACGCCCGUAAGGGCUUGACGGUACGGGUAUAAGAAGCCCCGGCUAACUACGUGCCAGCAGCCGCGGUAAUACGUAGGGGGCCAGCGUUGCUCGGAAUUACUGGGCGUAAAGGGUCUGUAGGCGGUGCGGCAAGUCGAUAGUGAAAUCCCUAGGCUUAACCUAGGGGCUGCUAGCGAAACUGCCG
rnacentral:rRNA from 1 species